ensembl:lncRNA
ACAGCAAAUGUUUACUGAGCUCUUACUAUGAUGCCUCUUCUUCGUGGUGGAAGCACCUGACCACACAUGGACAUCAAAAGAGGAGAUGAAUCACUAAGCAGGAAGGACACAGUCCUGAGCCUCUUUCUCAAUCUGUUCUCACCGAGCCUUGGGUUUUACCAUCUGUUUUUGGGUUUCCAAACUCACCUCAUCUUGGGUUAAUGUUCCUGCUACUCUGACGCCUACCUAAGUGGUUGAUGCUCCUUCCUGGUUCUUCUAGGCAUCCUGGGAAGUGGCCACUCACCUCCAAAGGACAAGGCGCUGUGUCUGGGAAAAGCCAGAGCCCAUCAGCAUUGAUCAGCGAGAUGCAAGAGUCAGAGGGUCACUCCAGUGGAAUGGACCCAGUCGACUGGUGCAGCAAUAGCAGCAGCUGCUGCAAAAUGCUUCUGAUUUACUGGGAAACUGCACUCCAAGGAGCCAUAUUAAUGCCAGCGAUAAACCUGGUCCCCCAGGAGCACCUGCAUUUUAAGGGAGGAGUGUUGCACAUAUAUGAGCUCCAACCAGUUAUCAGCCUCCUCCAACCCUGCUGCAUCUUGGGCUGCAUUUUCAAACACCUGCCAGUCUCCAGGCCAGCCUGGGAAGGAGCAAGAUACACAGAGCCACAGAAGGUGAAGGAUCGCUCCACAUUUGGCCAGGGGCUAAAUUGUCCCCACCUCCCAACAGAAGUGUAUUGGAUUGAACAGUGUACCCCCAAAUUCAUGUCAACCCAGAACCUCAGAAUGUGA